CAGACCUUCUGAUCAGGAAA
rnacentral:rRNA from 1 species